rnacentral:rRNA from 1 species
GGACUACCGGGGUAUCUAAUCCCGUUUGCUCCCCUGGCUUUCGUGCCUCAGCGUCAGGAAAUGUCUAGAGACUCGCCUUCGCCACUGGUGUUCCACUUGAUAUCUACGCAUUUCACUGCUACACCAAGUAUUCCAGUCUCCCCUCCAUUCCUCGAGCAGGAUAGUAUCCGAUGCAGUUUCCGAGUUAGGCUCGGAGAUUUCACAUCAGACUUACCCUACCGCCUACGCACCCUUUACGCCCAGUGAAUCCGAACAACGCUUGGGACCUCUGUAUUACCGCGGCUGCUGGCAC